UGAAAGGGAUAUCGGUGAGAAAAGCAAGACUGUUUACAGAGACAAAAGAAAAGACACGCCAUGAAUAUCUUAUGCUUUGCGCUAACUGCGGUACUGACUCUUGGCCUUUCAGCUGUCUCUACUAAUGAGAAUGUUCACGUAGAAACAGUAAGGGAAGGGGACGAGGAUAUCGUAACAGUUACGGACGAAACUGGGAAGGUCUUGUCUACUACCGCCUUUCAUUGAGAGGACGAAUAUCAACUGCAGAAGCCAAACGAUGAGAACGACUAUGUUUGCCUUAUCUCGCGCAUUUAUGCAAAUGAAACUGGACAGGAGCAAUGUUAUAAACGUGUUCCUCUCCCGGAAGAUUUGAAACAUGGAUUGGACCUUGAGGAAUGUGAAGACCGAGAGAUCUUUCUUUUAGAACCAAUUAAACAAGAGGACUGUGAGAACGAUGCCUUGGUAAGUAGAAGGGGCUAUAGUUUCUGUAUCUGGAUAACGCAAAUACAAUGCUACUGUGCAGAGCAUUACUGUUCGAAAAGAGGAUGGUGGGGCAGAUGCGUGCGUUGGGGGUGCAGGAGAUAUACCUACCGCGCGGUGAAAACUAUGAAAUGCUUUUAAAAGUAUAGACGUGGACACUUGCCUUGAGACGUUGAUAUCUAGCAUUUCAUUAGAUACACUUUCCUGUAAUGUACUGAUAAUAAUUACUCGUAUUAAUUCUCAAAAAUCCUAUACAUAAUGUUUAUUUCAACGCUGUUCUGAUACUAAACUAAUUUACAAUAUUUGAAUAAAAUAUUCUGCUUAUGGACAAUAAUUGAUUCCUUCGCUUUA